rnacentral:tRNA from 1 species
GGGUAUAUAGCUCAGUGGUAGAGCGCAUGCUGAGCAUUGAUGAAGUCCUGGGUUCGAUCCCCAUUGCCUCCA